rnacentral:rRNA from 1 species
CGAACGGGUGAGUAACGCGUGAGUAACCUGCCUUACACAAGGGGAUAGCCUUUGGAAACGAAGAAUAAUACCCUAUAAAACCAUAAAAGCACAUGCAAUUAUGGUCAAAGUGAUAGCGGUGUAAGAUGGACUUGCGUCUGAUUAGCUAGUUGGUGAGAUAAAAGCCCACCAAGGCAACGAUCAGUAGCCGGCUUGAGAGAGUGUACGGCCACAUUGGGACUGAGACACGGCCCAG